GUUCGGGGGUGUGUCCGGCUGGGCCCCGGCUUGUUUUUCGGGUGGGGUUUUUGCCCUUGCGGGUUGGCCGUGUCUUGUCGUGGGGUUCCGGCUCAGUUGCGGGUGGUCCACCUUGCCCAGGGGGGCGUGGUUUUCCUCGGGUACCUGUGGGUUUCCCGCGGUGGGUCGCGAUUUCUGGACUGGUUCGUGGCCUAAUUCUUCAUGGCCCCUGGGUUGGGCUGCGGCCGGUCAGGUUGUUGGUGAGGUAUUGGCCCACCAAACCCACAACCGGUUCGGGCUCUGAGUGGUGAUGCCCGGAGAUGGGCACUGUGUCAGGGGCCCAGGCCCUAUGGGGCGCAGCAGGCGCGGAACCUCUGCAAUAGGCGAAAGCCUGACAGGGUUGCUCUGAGUGAUUUCCGCUGAGGGGAUCUUUUGGCACCUCUAAAAAUGGUGCAGAAUAAGGGGUGGGCAAGUCUGGUGUCAGCCGCCGCGGUAAUACCAGCACCCCGCCGUGGUCGGGACGAUUAUUGGGCCUAAAGCAUCCGUAGCCGGUUCUGCAAGUCUUCCGUUAGAUCCAGCCGCUCAACGGAUGGGCCGCGGAGGAUACUUCAGGCCUAGGUGGCGGGUGAGGCAAGCGGUACUCAGUGGGUAGGGGUAAAAUCCUUUGAUCCAUUGAAGACCACCAGUGGCGAAGGCGGCUUGCCAGAACGCGCUCGACGGUGAGGGAUCCCAGCUGGGGGAGCAAACCGGAUUAGNUGCCCGGGUGGUCCCUGCUGUUNUCGAUGCAGNCUCGGUGGUGGGCUAGCCUUGUGCCAGCCCNGUGCCGCNGGGGAGCGGUUCCUCAAAAGCCUCUG
rnacentral:rRNA from 1 species